rnacentral:rRNA from 1 species
AUGGAUUCAGAGCCCUCAUCGCAGAACCCAACAGACAUGACUGCAUUUGUGCAAAACCUCCUCGGUCAGAUGAUCGACGAGCUGGAGCAGAGCGUGAACGAUCUCAAAGCUGAGAUGGGCACCACCGACAUACCUGUCAAGAAGCCCGAUGAGGCAAAGCCUGCCGACUCCGCAUAA